rnacentral:rRNA from 1 species
UACGGAGGAUCCGAGCGUUAUCCGGAUUUAUUGGGUUUAAAGGGUGCGUAGGCGGUUUGAUAAGUUAGAGGUGAAAUGUCGGGGCUCAACCCCGAAACUGCCUCUAAUACUGUUGGACUAGAGAAUAGUUGCGGUAGGCGGAAUGUAUGGUGUAGCGGUGAAAUGCUUAGAGAUCAUACAGAAUACCGAUUGCGAAGGCAGCUUACCAAACUAUAUCUGACGUUGAGGCACGAAAGCGUGGGUAGCAAACAGG